rnacentral:rRNA from 1 species
CCUACGGGUGGCAGCAGUGAGGAAUAUUGGUCAAUGGUCGGAAGACUGAACCAGCCAAGCCGCGUGAGGGAGGAAGGUACAGAGUAUCGUAAACCUCUUUUGUCAGGGAACAAAGGCGGGGACGUGUCCCCGGUUGAGUGUACCUGAAGAAAAAGCAUCGGCUAACUCCGUGCCAGCAGCCGCGGUAAUACGGAGGGUGCGAGCGUUAUCCGGAUUUAUUGGGUUUAAAGGGUGCGCAGGCCGUCUGUCAAGUGUGCGGUGAAAGGCCCGGGCUCAACCCCGGCCCCGCGGUGGAAACUGGCAGUCUCGAGUUGGAGAGAAGUAUGCGGAAUGCGCGGUGUAGCGGUGAAAUGCAUAGAUAUCGCGCAGAACUCCGAUUGCGAAGGCAGCAUGCCGGCUCCACACUGACGCUGAGGCACGAAAGCGUGGGUAUCGAACAGGAUUAGAUACCCCUGUAGUC